UACAGAGGGGGCAAGCGUUGUUCGGAAUUACUGGGCGUAAAGGGCGCGUAGGCGGCCUGCUAAGUCGAACGUGAAAUCCCUGGGCUCAACCCAGGAACUGCGUCCGAUACUGGUUGGCUUGAAUCCGGGAGAGGGAUGUGGAAUUCCAGGUGUAGCGGUGAAAUGCGUAGAUAUCUGGAGGAACACCGGUGGCGAAGGCGACAUCCUGGACCGGUAUUGACGCUGAGGCGCGAAAGCGUGGGGGAGCAAACAGGG
rnacentral:rRNA from 1 species